UACGUAGGUGGCAAGCGUUGUCCGGAAUUAUUGGGCGUAAAGCGCGCGCAGGCGGCCUCUUAAGUCUGAUGUGAAAGCCCCCGGCUCAACCGGGGGAGGGCCAUUGGAAACUGGGAGGCUUGAGUAUAGGAGAGAAGAGUGGAAUUCCACGUGUAGCGGUGAAAUGCGUAGAGAUGUGGAGGAACACCAGUGGCGAAGGCGACUCUUUGGCCUAUAACUGACGCUGAGGCGCGAAAGCGUGGGGGAGCAAACAGG
rnacentral:rRNA from 1 species